UCUGUCCUGGCUUCGUAAUUUCCCUCUGGGUUCCAGCCAUGCGAUGUGGGCUUGAUGUGAAGGAUAGGAAAUGGUGACCUGUGGAAUUUUGGAGUUUACUGCAGGGAGAGGUAUAAAGGCAGCUGAAAUACCACUGUGGUAAAUGGAAGACAUGCACACGUGGAGCAAUAGCUGCAGUUUCUCGUGCAUUUACUUAGGGUGUAAACCAGGUGGAAUUUCUCAGGAGUGAGACUUGGCCAGUUCUAUCCAUUGCCCAGUUAAAGUCUGCCCAGCUUAAAGCUGAUUUGACUUUGGUUUUAGGAAAAUAAGUGUUUUCCUUUGAGCAUCUUCAAAACUUCUUGCGGUUACUGAGCUUGCAGCAUUAUCUCUUAUCUGAGGAAUGCUAACCAUGAUAAACAAGGAACUAAUCAGGGCCAAAUGUGAGUUUUGGCAGUUGCUUUGGCUUUGCAGCGUUUGGUACAUGAGGACGCGUGCAGAUCAAAACCCUGCAGGCUCUAUAAACGCUGCAGGCCGGAAACUCAUACACAUUCUGCUGCUUAUUUCCCUUUGUGUGCAUAACCUGAGUGCUGGUGAUUAGUGGUUGGUUUCAUUCUUUGUCUCGAAACCACUAACUGCUGGUAAAAAAGGCAAUAAAUUCUCGUGUAGCAAAGUGUGUUAACAGAACAUAACAUACCUGAGUUAAAGGGAUGCCUUCUGGUUAAUGCGAAGCGCUCAGUGUUUUAUGCGUUCAGUGUUGCUGUUAUUGAGAAAAUACAUUUCAAGGUAACGGGGUGAUAGUAAUGCGAGUGAAAUGAACACCUAUAGUGCUGUUGUGUCAGUAUAAUUUCUACCUACAGGAAAAAAAAACCUAUGAAAUGAUGAUUCAGGUCAAUAUUUCACUGUGAUGUUUUUUGCCAAUUGGGGAUCAUAGGAUAUUUGGGUAGAAGAGCGUAGAUAAACUGAUACUGCUGACUGGGGAUGUGCUUGUACAAAUUUGCUGUCAUUCAGGCUUAUGUAUUUCCCAUAUUAGUGCCUGGCUUGUGUAUUGGGAUAGGUCAAUAUCUGCUCGAGUAGAUGGUAGCUCCUCUGGAGCGCCAUCAUCCACUGGGAGGACUACACAUCAUUAGCAGCGUACCACCCCGCUGCGGCUGGUUGUAGAGGCAGACCAAUGACAGCCUUCUUUGGCAGUUACAAAGAGGAGAAAUCAACAGGGCUGUGCAGUAAGGAGGUGCUGGGGAAGAGGCGUUGUGCAGUCACUGCCAGAGUGGGUCUGAACUCAUGGGAUGUCUGCUUAGAUGGUGCCCACGAAGCAUUUGGGGCAGAAGUGCCACUGAACGCAGCCAGGAGCUGCACACAUUGGCUUCCAUGAAACUGAACAUGCUGCUGGCCUGCAGCACAUCCACCUGAACCCUGGAAGUCCUCUGAUUUCUAGGCUCAGUCUGGAUAUUCCAGCCGUUCCCUUCCAUUCCAGCCAGCUGCUGGGCUCAGCUCUCAGAGCACAAACUCCUGGUGCUGUCACCACUGCACCACUUCUGCCCUUUCUCUGCCCGUAAUCGCUGCGAUGCUGUACAUGGGAAGGGCACUGCGGUGAUGAAAGGAUCCUGCCUUUUGAAUUGGCAGCAUAUUUAAAUAGAAAGAAAGCAGAAAAUUAGUUUUCCUCUGGUCUGUUAGUUGUGCAUUUUCUGAGGGAUGGUUGCAUGAAAGGAGCAUCUGCCCUGGGGCCUCACAUGAGAUCCUGGCUCCAUUGUGCAGUCUCUGCAGGUGCCCACAGAAAGAAAUAGAUCCCUUCCUCCCCGCUACAUAAGUAGUCAUAGCCACACCAAAAUGAAAAGAGGACAAAUAACUUACAGAAGUGGGGAACACUGUCCUGUGGGGAUGGAUGGUGGCAAGGUGAGGACUGGAGGUGAUGGCCGGGCUGCCGUCUGCAAGAGCACCCAUGGGUUGGGUGGGAGCUGGGGAAGCGUGGGAGCCUGGGGAGUGCAGCCAAACCCAGCCUGGCUGGCAGCUCUGCACCAGGAAAGGUAACUUAAGCCAGUACAUCCAGGCUUCACCAUGCCUUGAGCUCUACUUAGAAUGCUUACAAUCAUCAUUUCUCUUUUGCAAAACCCAAUAGUCAAUCCCCCUCUUUCUGGGCACCCACCAGGCACCUCUCAGCUCUGAGAGCUGUGCUCUGAGAUGAGGAUGUGUUGAGGUUUGAGGGGAUCUUGGAAGGAACAUUAUGGAGCCAGGAACUAAACAGGGACAUCUCUUGUUGUGGACACGUGAACUGAGUGGCACUGAGGUAAUGCUGCAGGUUGGUGCCCAUCAGUCCUGGAAUCCUUCUGACCCAGAAGCCACGGAGGGAGCUGUUAGGGUGGCUGUGUGGGAACACAUUUCUCAUACUAAUUGCUCCAUGCAAGUUUAUAUCCAGAAAAAUACGAGAUUUUUAUGGCCAGCCAUCGUUUUCUGGCAGUAAACAGUUCAUCAGAAAACUCCUGACAUGCUGGGAUUUGGCUUUCUUAAUCAGAAUGCCUUGUUGUUCUGUGCAGUUCUGGAAAAUGCUAAACUACUGUUCAUUUUGUUUUUAUAAUUUCGCUGUAAACCUGUCCAAAAAUCCUAAACAACAAAAAGCCAACAAAGCAAAGCAGCCCUGUGCUGUUUUCAUUUAAACAUUUCUUAACCAAGCAGAUUUCCUGUAAGUAGAAUCCAGAAUUAUUUUAUUUUAGGAAAUCAAAACAACUCUGAGCUCAAUAAUCUCUCAUUUUCUCCUCCAUUUAAUUUUUUAAGUGAUUGGGAGAAGUCUUAAAUCAUGCAUUUUCCCUACAAUGGGAGUUCAACCAUCCAGAGGAGAUGCGUUAAGCUGGUGGCAAUGGGUUGUGCUGGCAUUUGCAUAAAGUAAUUGAUGUACUUAAACUUCAGGGUAAAAGUGGAGGCAAAGCAUAAGGAAAAAUCCAAACUGCUCCUUAGAUUUUCCUGAGACACAGAUAUGUGGUAUGUCCACGCUGUUUGUUAGUGAGUUGAGUUUGCAUAUUUUGUUUUAUGGGACCCUAUGAGCCAGUGUAAAAGAAUCUCUUUUCAGAGAGGAAUUUGUUUCCUAGUGUUAGAGUUCAAACCCCAUGGCCCUGCUGACCAGCAGACACGAUCCAAUCAAUCUGCUGUGUUUAUUCACUGUUCGGAAUGAGCACGAAGUAAAAUUAAAGCAGAGGGUGGGGGGAGCAAUCUUCUGGCUUCUUUCAGCAUGUGAACUCUGUCUUCCACUCAGAUAUUCAAAUAGAGUAACAGCGGAUGUUUAAACAAAGAUUUCAACCCCAAAUGCUCCUUGCUGCUUUGUUUAAUCAGAGGUCUGGAAGGUUCCAGCUCUCCAGCAGAUCUGGGCUCUGGUUUUACAGCACUCUGCAGUUCUCUGCUCCCUUUGACAGCGCAGUCUUUCAAUUCCAGUUAUUCCAUGCUGAAUAAGGGAGCACCCAGUCACCCCCAGUAUGGCAGUGCCUGUCUUGGUCACCCGUUCCCAGGGACCCAGUGGUUUGUCCACUUCUUGGGUUUAAUGUGAACAUACUCCAUAUUUGCAAAGUACUUCAGAGCCAUUUGCC
rnacentral:lncRNA from 1 species